rnacentral:snRNA from 1 species
GUGCUCGCUUCAGCAGCCCAUAUACUAAAAUUGGAAUGAUAGAUUAGCAUGGCCCCUGCGCAAGGAUGACACGCAAUUUGUGAAGUGUUUCAUAUUUCA